GAUGAAGAACGUAGCGAAAUGCGAUAAGUAAUGCGAAUUGCAGAAUUUCCGUGAGUCAUCGAAUCUUUGAACGCACAUUGCGCCCAUUGGUAUUCCGGGGGGCAUGCCUGUCCGAGCGUCAUUGCUGCCCUCAAGCACGGCUUGUGUGUUGGGCCCCGUCCUCCGAUCCCGGGGGACGGGCCCGAAAGGCAGCGGCGGCACCGCGUCCGGUCCUCGAGCGUAUGGGGCUUUGUCACCCGCUCUGUAGGCCCGGCCGGCGCUUGCCGAUCAACCCAAAUUUUUAUCCAGGUUGACCUCGGAUCAGGUAGGGAUACCCGCUGAACUUAAGCAUAUCAAUAAGCGGAGGA
rnacentral:misc_RNA from 1 species